rnacentral:lncRNA from 1 species
UGAACACUAGGGAAGUGACCUGAAACCCAGGCAAGCACAUUGUGCUGCUGUCAGGAAGCGACCCAACAGAACACCGUUUGAUUUUGGAAUCGUUUUCCCAAACAGCUGUCCUCUGCUCUCCUAGAACACAUGCCGUCCUCACGUCUCUAAAGACUCACUUCCUCGCCUGGAGCCUGCUCACUCAGGGAAAGCA